rnacentral:rRNA from 1 species
UACGUAGGGUGCAAGCGUUAAUCGGAAUUACUGGGCGUAAAGCGUGCGCAGGCGGUGAUGUAAGACAGUUGUGAAAUCCCCGGGCUCAACCUGGGAACUGCAUCUGUGACUGCAUUGCUGGAGUGCGGCAGAGGGGGAUGGAAUUCCGCGUGUAGCAGUGAAAUGCGUAGAUAUGCGGAGGAACACCGAUGGCGAAGGCAAUCCCCGUGGGCCGCACUGACGCUCAUGCACGAA